rnacentral:rRNA from 1 species
AGUGGGGAAUAGCCCAGGGAAACUUGGAUUAAUACCCCCGUAAUAUUAUGAAGUGGCAUCACUUUAUAAUUAUAGCUCAGGCGCUUGAAGAUGGGUGUGCGGCUGAUUAGGUAGUUGGCGGGGUAACGGCCCACCAAGCCUACGAUCAGUAACUGGUGUGAGAGCACGACCAGUCACACGGGCACUGAGACACGGGCCCGACUCCUACGGGAGGCAGCAGUAAGGAAUAUUGGUCAAUGGACGCAAGUCUGAACCAGCCAUGCCGCGUGGAGGAUGAAGGUCCUCUGGAUUGUAAACUUCUUUUCUCUGGGGCGAAAAAAGGAUAUUCUUAUCCUCCUGACAGUACCAGAGGAAUAAGCACCGGCUAACUCCGUGCCAGCAGCCGCGGUAAUACGGAGGGUGCAAGCGUUAUCCGGAUUCACUGGGUUUAAAGGGUGCGUAGGUGGGCAGGUAAGUCAGUGGUGAAAUCCCCGAGCUUAACUUGGGAACUGCCAUUGAUACUAUCUGUCUUGAAUACCUUGGAGGUGAGCGGAAUAUGUCAUGUAGCGGUGAAAUGCUUAGAUAUGACAUAGAACACCAAUUGCGAAGGCAGCUCACUACACGGUCAUUGACACUGAGGCACGAAAGCGUGGGGAUCAAACAGGAUUAGAUACCCUGGUAGUCCACGCCCUAAACGAUGGAUACUCGACAUCAGCGAUACACUGUUGGUGUCUGAGCGAAAGCAUUAAGUUCCCACC